rnacentral:rRNA from 1 species
GAUGAACGCUGGCGGCGUGCCUAAUACAUGCAAGUCGAGCGAACGGACGAGAAUCUUGCUUCUCUGAUGUUAGCGGCGGACGGGUGAGUAACACGUGGAUAACCUACCUAUAAGACUGGGAUAACUGCGGGAAACCGGAGCUAAGACCGGAUAAUAUUUUGAACCGCAUGGUUCAAAAGUGAAAGACGGUCUUGCUGUCACUUAUAGAUUGAUCCGCGCUUCAUUAGCUAGUUGGUAAGGUAACGGCUUACCAAGGCAACGAUGCAUAGCCGACCUGAGAGGGUGAUCGGCCACACUGGAACUGAGACACGGUCCAGACUCCUACGGGAGGCCGCAGUAGGGAAUCUUCGGCAAUGGGCGAAAGCCUGACGGAGCAACGGCGCGUGAGUGAUGAAGGUCUUCGGAUCGUAAAACUCUGUUAUUAGGGAAGACCAUAUGUGUAAGUAACUGUGCACAUCUUGACGGUACCUAAUAAGAAAGCAACGGCUAACUACGUG